UACGGGGGGGGUAAGCGUUGUUCGGAAUUACUGGGCGUAAAGAGCGUGUAGGCGGCCAGGUAGGUCUGCUGUGAAAACUCGAGGCUUAACCUCGAGCUGUCGGCGGAAACCAUCUGGCUAGAGUCCGGAAGAGGAGAAUGGAAUUCCCGGUGUAGCGGUGAAAUGCGCAGAUAUCGGGAAGAACACCCGUGGCGAAGGCGGUUCUCUGGGACGGUACUGACGCUGAGACGCGAAAGCGUGGGGAGCGAACAGG
rnacentral:rRNA from 1 species